rnacentral:rRNA from 1 species
GAGUUUUAUAUUUAAUUUUAUUUUAUAUUAUUAUAAAAAUUUAUAUUAAAAUGAAAUGAAAUAUUAUAUUGGGGUGAUAGAAAAAUAAAAUAAACUUUUUUUAAAAAUUUAACAUAAAUAAAUGAUUUUUUGAUCCAUUAUUAAUGAUUAUAAGAAAAAAUUACCUUAGGGAUAACAGCGUAAUUUUUUUUUUUAGAACAAAUAAAAAAAAGAGAUUGC